UCAGACUGCAGAGUGGAGUUCACAGCACCACAGUUUCACCAUAAACCAUGUUUGUGUUUGCUCUCUUUCUGCUCUUUGCAGCUGGACGUGUGGAGUGUGAACAGUUGACACAGCCAGCCUCUGUGACUGUGCAGCCAGGUCAGCGUCUCUCCAUCACCUGUCAGGUUUCUUAUUCUGUGAGCAGCUACCGAACACACUGGAUCAGACAACCUGCAGGGAAAGGAAUGGAGUGGAUUGGUUAUGACAAAACCUUCAAAGAUUCACUAAAGCACAAGUUCAGUGGCUACGACGAUUCUUCCAGCAACACAGUGACUCUAAAUGGACAGAACAUGCAGCCUGAAGACUCUGUUGUGUGCCAGAAGAGACACAGUGACACAAAUCAUCAGUAGACCUGAACAAAAACCCCUCAGUGCCUGAACACUUGUAGCAUGAAGCCACCAGAGGAGGAGCCCUCAGACCAGAAUGAGUUCACACCAGUUCACUGAGUAAAACUCUCUUUGCUGUCAGUCUUUGCACCAUUAGCAGCUCACAGGACUUUCAAAAGAGGAAAAUCAACUCUAAUAUUAAUACAAACAGCAAAGCGAUCUUUCAAAGGGCCUCCAUCAGGAAACAGUGAGUUUGUAAUGUUAAAAGUCAUAAACAAGAAUUUUAAAUGUAAUUACAGCAGCAUUUACUGAUUCAUUCAAUAUGACGUCAUGUAAUGUAGAACUCUACAGACACUGUUAUGAGCUGCUUCUUUGAAAUAAAUAAAUACAUUUUACAUCAUGAAUUUUAAA